AUCGCUUCUCGGCCUUUGGCUAAGAUCAAUAGUGUAAAUCUGUUCUUUCAGUUUUAAUACUGAUACGUCCCUACCCGGGGACACAUAUUAAAUGAUUUUGGAAUCACGGCGCUGGAGCCGGGGCUUGCUGUCCCCUCCACGCAUCGGCCCUGGUAUUGCACAGGUUCCAGGAACGGGGUGUUCCCU